CCUACGGGAGGCAGCAGUGAGGAAUAUUGGUCAAUGGACGAGAGUCUGAACCAGCCAAGUCGCGUGAAGGAUGACUGCCCUAUGGGUUGUAAACUUCUUUUAUAUGGGAAUAAAAUGUUCCACGUGUGGGAUUUCGUAUGUACCAUAUGAAAAAGGAUCGGUUAACUCCGUGCCAGCAGCCGCGGUAAUACGGAGGAUCCGAGCGUUAUCCGGAUUUAUUGGGUUUAAAGGGAGCGUAGGUGGAUUGUUAAGUCAGGUGUGAAAGGUUGCGGCUCAACCGUAAAAUUGCAGUUGAAACUGGCAGUCUUGAGUACAGUAGAGGUGGGCGGAAUUCGUGGUGUAGCGGUGAAAUGCUUAGAUAUCACGAAGAACUCCGAUUGCGAAGGCAGCUCACUGGACUGCAACUGACGCUGAGGCUCGAAAGUGUGGGUAUCAAACAGGAUUAGAUACCCCAGUAGUC
rnacentral:rRNA from 1 species